rnacentral:rRNA from 1 species
CGGACCGGCGCACGGGUGCGUAACGCGUAUGCAACCUACCUUUAACAGGGGGAUAACACUGAGAAAUUGGUACUAAUACCCCAUAAUAUCAUAGAAGGCAUCUUUUAUGGUUGAAAAUUCCGAUGGUUAGAGAUGGGCAUGCGCUGUAUUAGCUAGUUGGUGGGGUAACGGCUCACCAAGGCGACGAUACAUAGGGGGACUGAGAGGUUAACCCCCCACACUGGUACUGAGACACGGACCAG